UAUUCAAACAAUGCUGGAAAGUGGAGCCAAUGAUCACUUUAGUGGUGCUGAUUUGUCAUGGUGACUAGACGAGGGAGGGAGACUUCACAGCGCACAGAGAAUCACAGAGGUAUCGUAGCAGCGGAGGGGUUCUGAAAUGAGGGGGGAUUCUGCUUUACGGAAAGUGCUGUCUGGAGGUCAGCCCAAGGGUAAAAUACUUCGCCAGGAGUCAGAGAGAGAUUCGCUCAGCUCUUUUUGGGACGAGCGUGGCCCAGCUCUCCUGCGCCUCGGGGUACAGCGCGAGCUUAUGGGUUACAGAAAGAGGCGAACGCAAGCAAAUGAUCAUAUCCUUGAAAGAGGCAG